rnacentral:tRNA from 1 species
GGGUUCGUAGUCUAGUUUGGAUCAAGGCACUGAUGAAUAGUGUAGGCCUCCGGAGCCGGAUAUCGUGGGUUCAAGUCCCACCGAACCCG